rnacentral:rRNA from 1 species
GGGUGAGUACNGCGUGGGCAACCUGCCCUCCAGUUGGGGACAACAUUCCGAAAGGGAUGCUAAUACCGAAUGUGCUCCCUCCUCCGCAUGGAGGAGGGAGGAAAGAUGGCCUCUGCUUGCAAGCUAUCGCUGGAAGAUGGGCCCGCGUCUGAUUAGCUAGUUGGUGGGGUAACGGCUCACCAAGGCGAUGAUCAGUAGCCGGUCUGAGAGGAUGAACGGCCACAUUGGGACUGAGACACGGCCCAAACUCCUACGGGAGGCAGCAGUGGGGAAUCUUCCGCAAUGGACGAAAGUCUGACGGAGCAACGCCGCGUGAGUGAUGAAGGUCUUCGGAUUGUAAAACUCUGUUGUUAGGGACGAAAGCACCGUGUUCGAACAGGUCAUGGUGUUGACGGUACCUAACGAGGAAGCCACGGCUAACUACGUGCCAGCAGCCGCGGUAAUACGUAGGUGGCAAGCGUUGUCCGGAAUUAUUGGGCGUAAAGAGCAUGUAGGCGGGCUUUUAAGUCUGACGUGAAAAUGCGGGGCUUAACCCCGUAUGGCGUUGGAUACUGGAAGUCUUGAGUGCAGGAGAGGAAAGGGGAAUUCCCAGUGUAGCGGUGAAAUGCGUAGAUAUUGGGAGGAACACCAGUGGCGAAGGCGCCUUUCUGGACUGUGUCUGACGCUGAGAUGCGAAAGCCAGGGUAGCAAACGGGAUUAGAUACCCCGGUAGUCCUGGCCGUAAACGAUGGAUACUAGGUGUAGGAGGUAU